rnacentral:lncRNA from 1 species
ACCCCAUGCCUGGACCAAUGUACCGACUCCCAUCAUUCUUCACUCUGCCAUCCAUUUGCAAUGGCAGCUACCUCAACCAAGCACAUCAGAGCAAUGGAAACCAACUUCCUUUUUUUCUGCCUCAGACUCCAUAUGCAAAUGGACUGGUGCAUGACCCAGUCAUGGGGAGCCAAGCCAGCUAUGGUAUGCAGCAGAUGGCAGGAUUUGGGAGAUUGUACCCCGUAUAUCCAGCACCUAAUGUAGUUGCCAACACCAGUGGUUCUGGGCCCAAGAAGAACGGGAGUGUCUCUUGUUACAAUUGUGGUGUAAGCGGACACUAUGCACAAGACUGUAAGCAGUCAUCCAUGGAGGCCAAUCAGCAAGGCACUUACAGACUGAGAUACGCACCUCCCCUCCCCCCUUCUAAUGAUACGUUGGAUUCUGCAGACUGACCGAGUAAAGCUUGCCUGCUUAAUGCACUCACGUGUGGGGAGUCAUGGGUGUGGAGGGGAGGAAAGGAAAGGUAUUUUGUCUCUUUGUCUGUACAUUUCCUCAAUUUCUAUGCAGUUGGGAGUUUUCAUUUCUCUUUUGCCUGUGUCCACAUAAGAAAGAGCGCAACGCGCUGAGCCUCUGGUCUCCUGUGCCGACAGCCCGCUGGUCUCCUGUGCCGACAGCCGGCUGCUCUCCUGUGCCGACAGCCGGCUUUCAUGUUUGACACUCGUAACUUCAAUUUCAGACAAACUCAAACGGAAACCGUCGAUGUGUGCUUUCUUUACACUGAACACUUGCUGUGUGCAGUGUUUACUGAAUCUUUAAACUGUGUAUCUGACCUUAUUUGUUUCCACAACACUGGUAACAGUCGUAUGGUUUUCUUCCUCUGGCUUUCCUCACUUUGACCCUGAGCCCAUGUCUCUUCCAGCCACCCUUCUCCCUAGCCUGCAGCGAGGGUGCUCAGCGCGUCCUUGUCACACUUCUGUAACCUGCUCUGAGUCUGAACCAAGGGCAACACGUGUCACCGUAAAUUUUAGACAUCAGAGUCCCAAGAAGUAUGUACAUAUGUCACAAAAGCACCACGUAAAUACACAUAUGCAGCACCUGUCCAAAUAACCUGAGAACAAAUGGGAGAGAGGAAGCCAGACUCGGGAAGGCACACACGGGACAGACAGGCUUUCCUUGAGUGAAAACAGUGUUUCCUUCCAUCACACUUCUGAGAGCACCCCGGCGGUGUGAACACCCCGGUGGUGUGAAUGCUGCGCUCUGUGGGCCUGUGUCUGUGAUGAGGCCACCUCGGCCUGCCCAGACACUGCUGACUGAAGACACCCUGUCGGACAGCAGCUGUUGCACUGUCACACUGGGGUAUAGUGUGUGUGCUUUGUUGCAUCUGACAGAAGCUAUGGCUUUCUACAAAAGUCAGGUACCUGCUCCCAAACAAAGUCACUUUUAAAACCGUUUACCACUAUGCUUGAUACAAUGUGAAAGACUGGGUGGAGUGUGUUGAGAUGGUGUUAAUCAUGUCACUGUCAUGUCACUAAGUCUAAUGCUGCUGGCUUUUUUCAGUUUGUUUUCUUUGUUUUGUUUUUAAGCCAAUCUGUGUACUAAGUUGCUUCCAGGUAAUUUUUGUUUUGAUUUCCUGACGUGCACUGAGGAUAUCUGGGAGGUUGGCUGUGUCCUACCAUCCAUUGCAAGCUUGUGGGGUAGCAGGAAGGUAGCAGGCUUUCCGUGCCCCGGUACAGAGUAGACGUGAGUGACUUCGUUGUGGGGAAUAGAGUCGGUGUGCAGCAGAGGCACUGAAAUGUUGGGUCUGGGUUCUGAAACCUGACAUUGUGAGACAAAGAAAAAACUUGAAGCAAAAAGAAGCUAGUUCCACACGUCAAAAGUAGUGUUUAUAUUUAUAGCGCCAAUGUAUGUUCUGAAACUUUCAGGGGUAGGAGACCGGGAGAGAUGGGGGGAGUGUGACGGGGUAGACGAAAGCUUUAAUUUAGAAAGAAAAGUUCAAGUAAAGGAAAUUAUUUUGAUUAAAUAUAUUUUAUUUGAUCUGGGUAUUUUUGGACCGCAUUAUUAAAUCGUUGAGCUGCAGUUGAGUUGUUGAGGGGAGAGUAUUGACCAGACCAGCCUUGUACAGGUGCAUUGUGACUCACAUUGUGCCCGGUGUCCUGUGUGGGGCUUAUUUUAUGAUUUCAAUACUGUACUGUACACAGGAGGUGUGUUACCUUCUCCUUAUUUGUAUGUUUACCAUAGACUUUGAUAUCUGAGAUGUUAUGUACUGGAAAGGCCACUUAUAUUUCUAGAACAGAUUGGAUUUUAUGCAAUCUUUUCCUUGAAUUAACAGCAAUAAAAAAAGAAAAACAACCUAAG